AACACUGUUUGGGAGACCUGAGUUCUGACGAUCUUCACAGCUGCUGCUCCGCCACGGGUAAGUUCAGCUUCACUAACAGGUAGAGACUGCUGUCACUAACAGGUAGAGACUGUUGUCACUAACGGGUAGAGACUGCUGUCACUAACAGUUAGAGACUGUUGUCACUAAUGGGUAGAGACUGCUGUCACUAACGGGUAGAGACUGUUGUCACUAACGGGUAGAGAAUGCUGUCA